AUNCNUGCAGUCGACGCUUUGUGGUUCAACUGAUUUGAAGAGCUUGCUCAGAUAUGACGAUGGACAUUGCAAAGAGUGGCGAACGGGUGAGUAACACGUGGGAAACCUACCUCUUAGCAGGGGAUAACAUUUGGAAACAGAUGCUAAUACCGUAUAACAAUAGCAACCGCAUGGUUGCUACUUAAAAGAUGGUUCUGCUAUCACUAAGAGAUGGUCCCGCGGUGCAUUAGUUAGUUGGUGAGGUAAUGGCUCACCAAGACGAUGAUGCAUAGCCGAGUUGAGAGACUGAUCGGCCACAAUGGGACUGAGACACGGCCCAUACUCCUACGGGAGGCAGCAGUAGGGAAUCUUCCACAAUGGGCGAAAGCCUGAUGGAGCAACGCCGCGUGUGUGAUGAAGGGUUUCGGCUCGUAAAACACUGUUGUAAGAGAAGAAUGACAUUGAGAGUAACUGUUCAAUGUGUGACGGUAUCUUACCAGAAAGGAACGGCUAAAUACGUGCCAGCAGCCGGCGGU
rnacentral:rRNA from 1 species